CUCAUGAUGAACGCUAGCUACAGGCUUAACACAUGCAAGUCGAGGGGCAUCAGGAAGAAAGCUUGCUUUCUUUGCUGGCGACCGGCGCACGGGUGAGUAACACGUAUCCAACCUGCCCUUUACUCGGGGAUAGCCUUUCGAAAGAAAGAUUAAUGCCCGAUGGCAUAGUUCUUCCGCAUGGUAGAACUAUUAAAGAAUUUCGGUCAUCGAUGGGGAUGCGUUCCAUUAGGUUGUUGGCGGGGUAACGGCCCACCAAGCCUUCGAUGGAUAGGGGUUCUGAGAGGAAGGUCCCCCACAUUGGAACUGAGACACGGUCCAAACUCCUACGGGAGGCAGCAGUGAGGAAUAUUGGUCAAUGGACGAGAGUCUGAACCAGCCAAGUAGCGUGAAGGAUGACUGCCCUAUGGGUUGUAAACUUCUUUUAUACGGGAAUAAAGUGAGGCACGUGUGCCUUUUUGUAUGUACCGUAUGAAUAAGGAUCGGCUAACUCCGUGCCAGCAGCCGCGGUAAUACGGAGGAUCCGAGCGUUAUCCGGAUUUAUUGGGUUUAAAGGGAGCGUAGGCGGACGCUUAAGUCAGUUGUGAAAGUUUGCGGCUCAACCGUAAAAUUGCAGUUGAUACUGGGUGUCUUGAGUACAGUAGAGGCAGGCGGAAUUCGUGGUGUAGCGGUGAAAUGCUUAGAUAUCACGAAGAACUCCGAUUGCGAAGGCAGCCUGCUGGACUGUAACUGACGCUGAUGCUCGAAAGUGUGGGUAUCAAACAGGAUUAGAUACCCUGGUAGUCCACACAGUAAACGAUGAAUACUCGCUGUUUGCGAUAUACAGUAAGCGGCCAAGCGAAAGCGUUAAGUAUUCCACCUGGGGAGUACGCCGGCAACGGUGAAACUCAAAGGAAUUGACGGGGGCCCGCACAAGCGGAGGAACAUGUGGUUUAAUUCGAUGAUACGCGAGGAACCUUACCCGGGCUUGAAUUGCAACUGAAUGAUGUGGAGACAUGUCAGCCGCAAGGCAGUUGUGAAGGUGCUGCAUGGUUGUCGUCAGCUCGUGCCGUGAGGUGUCGGCUUAAGUGCCAUAACGAGCGCAACCCUUAUCGAUAGUUACCAUCAGGUUAUGCUGGGGACUCUGUCGAGACUGCCGUCGUAAGAUGUGAGGAAGGUGGGGAUGACGUCAAAUCAGCACGGCCCUUACGUCCGGGGCUACACACGUGUUACAAUGGGGGGUACAGAAGGCAGCUACACGGCGACGUGAUGCUAAUCCCUAAAGCCUCUCUCAGUUCGGAUUGGAGUCUGCAACCCGACUCCAUGAAGCUGGAUUCGCUAGUAAUCGCGCAUCAGCCACGGCGCGGUGAAUACGUUCCCGGGCCUUGUACACACCGCCCGUCAAGCCAUGAAAGCCGGGGGUACAAGAAGUGCGUAACCGCAAGGAGCGCCCUAGGGUAAA
rnacentral:rRNA from 1 species